rnacentral:rRNA from 1 species
UAAAACGUAGGGUGCGAGCGUUGUCCGGAUUUAUUGGGCGUAAAGCGUUUCGUAGGCUUUUUGGUAAGUUGCAUUUCAAAGCCUGGGGCUCAACCUCAGAAAGGGGUGCAAUACUGCCAGAAUUGGAGAACUUCGGGGCUACUGGAACUGUCGGUGUAGGGGUGAAAUCCGUUGAUAUCGACAAGAACACCAAGGGCGAAGGCAGGUAGCUAGGAGUUAUUCGACGCUGAGGAACGAAAGCUAGGGGAGCGAAGCGGAUUAGAGACCCGCGUAGUCCUAGCCGUAAACGAUGCUCGCUAGGGAUUUGAACUUUUAGUUUGAGUCCCGCAAGCUAACGCGUGAAGCGAGCCGCCUGGGGAGUACGGCCGCAAGGCUA